rnacentral:rRNA from 1 species
UACGUAGGGACCAAGCGUUGUUCGGAUUUACUGGGCGUAAAGGGCGCGUAGGCGGCGCGGUAAGUCACUUGUGAAAUCUCUGAGCUUAACUCAGAACGGCCAAGUGAUACUGCAGUGCUAGAGUGUGGAAGGGGCAAUCGGAAUUCUUGGUGUAGCGGUGAAAUGCGUAGAUAUCAAGAGGAACACCGGUGGCGAAGGCGGGUCUCUGGGCCGAUGACUGACGCUGAGGAGCGAAAGCGUGGGGAGCGAACAGGA